GAUAUAACAAUAUAAAGUCAGUCAAUUGUUUGUAUUUCCUAAUCAUAAGGUUCUCUGAUCACGAAAUAAAAUAUGAAAUCCACUAACCAUCAACCCAACUCCCCAAUUGAUUGUCUCACUCCCAUUUCCCACUUGCUUUUUAGAACUAGUUUUGAACCAACCCUAAAAGAACCAACCUUAUUGUCUAUUUUCCUCAAAUCCCCCACUAACGAGGUCCUCUAAAUUCCUACCCAAAGACCCAUAUUUGGACUCUAAGAAUGUAGUUUUCUAUUUGUCGAUAAAAUCCAAGUUAAAAAUCUCUAAGUAUUUAACACUUAAUCCAACCAAAGCUUUCUCUCUACUAACCAUUCCCCAUUAACACAAUAAAUCUUUUAUUUGUUUUAUCACACCUUACAAACAAGAAAGUUGCUUGAAUCUUUUUCAUAUUGCCAAACACACGAUACCAAGCUCAUGUCAACUACAACCACCUUUUAUCUUCAUCAUUUUCUCAUUCACUUACCUUGUAUUCUAUAAACUUCACUCAUUGUUUCUCUGAUUCUCAUCAUCACCAUCCUAGAGUAUUCUAUCCCUUAUACAUUCAUCAUCCUAGCAUGCACAUUGACCAUAAAAGCAGAGCAUUUCAAUUCUUCAUCAUCCAC
rnacentral:lncRNA from 1 species